GCUGAGUUGUUAAAACUCCAACACCACUGUGAACCUACCACUACGUUUGCCUCGGGCGGGCGGGCUCUCCAGGGCGGAGCCUCAGGCCCCCCCGCUUUGGGGGGGGCGCCCGCCGCAGGCCCCUUAUUAAACCCUGUUGUAUCUAGGCCUCUCUGAGUUACCUGCGCAAGCAGUCA
rnacentral:misc_RNA from 1 species